UUUAGUAGAACACACUUUUUAGGAGAACUUUUUUAAUUUUUUUGUUUAUUAUUUUAAAAUCCACCUGUUCUGUUAUCAUGAUAAGACACAAAUCCGAGUGUGCGGCCACUGAGACAGCAGAAAACAUAUGGAUGCAAAAAUUUGAAACGUGUUUAGCAAGUUUUAAAAAUCAGCUAUUGAAAUAAAAUUCAAUUCUUCCCAAUCUCGAGAUUCGGAGUGGCUCAGCUUGGCUAUAUAAACAGCAGUGGACAAGGCAAAGAUUAUUCAUACUCUCAUAAAAAAGAUAACAUUUGUCUACUCUUCAAAAAUUUACAAACUAGUCCCUAAGUUUGAGCAACAUGCCUUCACCACCCCACCACCACAACCAUCCCCAGUCCCACCCCCACCCUGCACCACCAGUGGUGGUUGUCGCUCCUCACCCAGCACCCCACCACCAUGCCCCUGUGGUGGUCGCACCGCCACCGAAAGUCGUGGUUGCGCAUCCACCCGCUCACCAUGACCACAAGCACAAGCACUGAAUUACACCAGGCGCAUGAGCUUAUAUUUUCUGUCAUCUAAUAAAAUAUGUACAAGUACUGUACGUGUUCUCUGUUUGCUCUAUAAUCUUGUAAGGUAAACCUAUGUAUUAGAAAUAAAAUCGUUGACAAGUAAUUUGUUGUAUUGGUCGUGCUGUGCUUGGAUCAAACAACUGAUGAAUAUAUGGAUGUCCUAUUAAAGUAGGUUUCUUGGAUCAAACAACUGCUCUAUUCUCUCUUCUUCCAUUUUUCUUAGUCUUUGGAUGAAAAAUAUAAGUCUCGUAAUCCAGAUGCAAGUUAAUUAGAAGAAUUUACCAAAUAUAUUAAUCUCGUCUUCUUUUCUUUGAGUAAUCUGUCCAUCCGGGUAUUUUUCCAUUUAAUAAUAAACUAGAUUUCAACUUCUUAAACUGUAUUUCGAAAUCCUUAAAAAACACACGGAAUACUAAGGCAUAAGUACAGUUAUCCGAUGAUAUUACACACAUGACACACUGGACAUAAGACAGUUGACAAGAAACUUGGGACACACUUAGGCAUAAAAUAGUUGACAAGAAACUUAGCCCGAUCAUGUUAGCAGUGUUGUAUUCGGCGAGUUACGGAACUGUGAUGAAUCGUGAUUAAUCACCGACUUUUAGAACAGAGCCUGCUAGUAACUGAAUCUCGGUUUAAUUACAUCAUUUUCUUUAAGAUAGAAGCUAGCCCCCCCCCCCCCCCCCCCCCCCCCNCCCCCCCCCCCCCCCCCCCCCAAACAUUGGAAAAAAACUUUGGUAAAAUCAACCAAAAUCAAGACGUCUUUAAACUUUGGUAUUGAAAUAGUUCCUCUUCGUACACGUUAAAUUAAAUGCAACCUAAAUGUAACUAAGAAUAAAUUCAAAUUUCUUACCGAAAAAAUGAAAAAGAAUUAUAAUAAUGGCGAACAUAGUUUUGCAAAUAUAUUAUUCAGACCAUAAUUAAAUGGCUUUUAUCACAAUAUUUGAUAAAAACUGUUCUGCAAAUUUUAUAGGUAUAUAUUAAAAUCAUCAAAACAAAAUUAAAAUUAGAUUAAUCAAAGAGCUUAUAUUAAGUUUUGAUGUUUGUACGUUAAUUUAGUUUAUAUACGAGUACUUGCCUAUGUAUACAUGUACGCCACUAAUCAAAUAAAUACUCUAACCCUAAACCUCAUCUGCCCCAUUUUCACUAUUACCUGCCCCAUCUUGUAUCCUACUCUAUCUUUAUCCAACCCCCAGCUCUCAACUACAACCUUCUUUCGCUGCCCGUCAUCUGUUUCCCACACCACCAACCCCUUGCCCCGAUCUUCCUUUUCAACAACUCCAAUCUCUUGUUUGUGCACUUUUGAUUACACAUAGCCCCGAUCUUCCUUUCUGACAAUCUCCAAUCUUGUUAGCCCAUUUAUUAUCACCCCUAAUAAUUGUUGUGAGUAAAUUCCGGCAUCAUUCUUCAUUAAAAGUGACGAUGAAGAUGAAAUAGAAAAGGAUGAAAUAAUGGUGUGUAUACGUAUAUAAUAACUCUAUAUCAAGUUUCACUGAAUUCUUUAUAUCAUUUAGUGAUAUAUAUUAGUGAUUUUUGUAAUAUAAUUAGUGAUUGAAGUUUGAAUCUAGCAAUUUUAAGAAAUAUGUCAAGGAAGUGAUUUUAUGUAAAUUAAUGAUUGUAGUGGUUAUUGAUCAGGGUGGUGAUGAUCGAAGAUCAAUUUAUAUAUUAUGUAUUUAUUUUUAUAAUAAACUCGAACAGUCACUAAAUAUUAUUAUCAAAUAUUAUUGUUAUAAUUAUUGUUUUCUAGUUUUUCGUGCAAAAGAGUUUUUCAUGGAGUAAAUAUAUUAUGUUAUAAUAUAAUUUAUAUAUUAUUUUAUAAUUAUCAUCUUUCUUCUUCAUCUUAAAGUCAAUAGCCUCCAUCAUGUUGCACCUCUGUUUAGAUCUGGUUAAUUUUUGUUCUUAAACAUAGUUGAAGAAGAUGAUGUCAAUUAUAAUGGAUUGUCCUGCAACUACAAUGGAUUAUGCUGCUAUCAUCGUCUUGCAUUUUCAUUGUAUAGAUAUGUACAAUAUGUAAUGGGGUGCAAAACAAUUCAUUGUAAUUGCCAUCAUGCUCUUCAACUAUGCUUAAGAACAAAAAUUAACUAGAUCCAAUAAAGGUGCAACACGAUGGAGGUUGUUGACUUCAAGAUGGCAUAGAAAAAUGGUAAUCGAUGAUGAACGAAGUGGGCAAACAAUUACAUAAAUGUGCAGAACAAUUGCAUAGCACUAAGAGAUACAUAAAACACAAUACCAUAAUUGAAGCCUGUGAUUAUAGCUGAUGGUCCGUAUUUUAUACUGUAUAUCAAACAUUCACUCACUAAAUAUAAUUAAAAAAUAAUAAUAAAAGAAAAAUAAUAAAGACCGUUAGAUUAAAUAUAAUGAAUGACUAAGAUGUUGGUCUCCAAUACUAAAAUAAAAAUGUGGUCCAUAAGGAACUUUACUCAAUUAUUAUAAAUACAUUACAACAAUAUAAAUUUCAAAGUUUUCUUACUCAGCUUCACUGUAAUUUUAGUAUCCCAUGAAUUUAAUAAUUAUCAUUUUAAUUCUUUCACAUAUAUUAAAAUAUAGAAAGUAUAUUUUAAUUUUUAAUUUUCAAAUUUUGUUAUUUCAAUUUAUUCGAAUAUGUGAUUUUUUUCCAAAAAAUAUUAUUAAAAUAUAUACUUCAUGUAUUAACAAGUAGAGCGAAAAGAAAAGUAAACAGAAAACCUAUUAUUGAUAGGGUUUUGCUUGUGGGCACAACAAUAAGUAAGGAUUACGACGCGUAGACAUGGACCUUGACUGGUAGCUACGUCGAGGAAUAGAAGCAACACUAUAAACACCCCGUGACAGGUACGCCAUUUUAUUCAUCACCAUCCAUUUGUCCAAACCGACUUCUCGAAAUUAAUAUACCAGUACUAUGAUUCGGAUCAUAUUUUGUUGGACUAGUUUUCAUUUUGAAGUUAUCUUCUGACAGAUAAAUAUCUUGCCUGGUUUAAUUUGAUUUUUUAAGAACAUCUCUGAGAGCAAGUAAAUGAACAAGUCUUUUAUUAAAAAUAAUUUUUCAAUUAUCUUAAUAUAGUAGUUUAUUUUUAAUAUUAAUAUUCAUAAGUAUAUAGUAUAUUUUAUAAAAUACAGUAAUCUUUUAUGUCCUGAAUGGCCUUUAGCCAAACUCCACCAAAGUCAAACUUUUCUAGCUAUAAAAUAAUGGCCCUAGCUAAUAAAUAUUUUUAGGUAAGAUAGAAAGCAAUAGCUAUUAAUAUUAUUAAAUGUUGUCGACAAAACGUUAAAGUCCGUCUUCAUCAAGGAAUUGUAAAUAACUGUGAAUCGAUUUUAUCCCGUAAAACUAAUGCUUUACCAGUAAAGUAAAAUGCAAAAUAUGUAUACAAUACAUGUAAAAUAUUUGAUAAAUUUCUAUGUGAAUGAAUUCAUAUUAUAUAGUACUCCCUCCGUCCCUCUGAGUUGUUUACCUCUACACUGUUUGCACACAUUUUGAGUCUCCUAUAAAAUAAAGCCGCAUAAUUUUUUUUAAAACUUUUUUUUUUUGAAUAAAAGUUUAAACAUCAAAAUUUUAUUCAGAGAAAAAAAAUUUAAAAAAUAUAUUAUAAAACUACACUUUAAAUUGAGCGUGGAAAAACAUGCCGAAAAGUAUCAUAAAGAAAUGAGAAGGACAGAGGGAGUAUAAGAUAAAAUUUAUAUUACAAUAAAACAGUAGCUGCUGAUGAUUAGCCUAUAUAUUCAUGAAUAAAUAUGACAUUUAAAAUACAUAAAGCCAAGAGAACCGGGAAACGCUAGAUUCGGGUGCCUUAAUUAGAUGAAUUUUGAAAAUGAUGUCUUUUUUUUACAAUCGUAAAAUAAAAAUUUACAUACAUUCAAUCAAUAUAUAAUAUACAAUGACAUAAUCUAAAAUAUUGUUUUAAGAUUGAAAACACCAUCAAUUCAAAUGUUCGAACUUUAGUGAAAAGAGAAAAAUGAACUCACGCGUGUAUAUAAGGCGUGAGUAUUGGAUUUCAACUACUCCUAUAUCUUUGUAUCUUAAAUAUAAGUAUUAAACAACUCCAUCACAUUAUAGUGAUAAAAAGAUUUAUUUUUAAUAUAAAUAAAUAAAACAACUCCAUUAUUACGUGGCUUUGAACGAGGAGCCAAAAAAUAUGCUCGCUGGACGACGAGCAGAGGAAAAUAUCCCCGUUGCCUUCGGUGACGAUUCAAAUAUGGAGCUACUUUUUGUUUUCUAUUCAUAAGAUUCAGUUUUUUCCUACUAAAAGAUAUUGUGAUGGUAUAAGCCAUACCCAUUAGAAAAGAAAAAGUAGCUCCAUCCAAUACUGGAGAGUAUGUUUUCUCGUAAUUAAAUAUUGAGAAAAUUAGGCUAAUAAUCGAGCCAUAUAUCUCAUAAUUCCUUUUUCAUACAAAUACCCAUAUAUUCCUAAUUAAUAUGAACAACACCAGAUGGUGUUUAGACUAGAGGCCCAGACACAUUUCUCUUGGUAAAGGAUUGCAAUUUUUCCUUGAUUGCAUUUUCCCUUUUGGCCAAUUUUAUAUUUGUCGAAACUCUUCAAUAUUUGAUAGUUCAAGAUUAGAGCUCAUAAAAAUAUGACAUGUCAAGGAAAAGUACACAUCAUCAAUCUCAGUACACUUAGGAUCCAAAAAAAAAAUUUAUGUGCAUAACUCAAAUUUGUCACUUCAGGGGAAAUAUCCUCUUCUAGAGGUAAUACAACUUAUUAGAGGUAAUACUACUUAUUAUGAUUAUGUUCUAAACACUUUAUGGGCUCAAACCUCUUCAUGUGGUGAUACCACUUCCACGAUAUUUCUUGGAAUGUGGGUAUAGCGGUUAACACACUUCCAGUAUGAAUAUAAAUCGAUUAUCAAUUCUUCUGGAAUUGAUUUAUUAGUAGGGAUUUCAAUCCUUACCGGAGCUUUAACAACAAGUACAUGUGUACAUGUCUAGAAUCACUAAAAAUAUUUGAUAUUUAAUUAGCAAUAUUUAGCAUAUGAAUAGUUCUAUUACCUCAAAUUCACAUUAGUUUGUGGGUCAACAGCAGUAGGCCUGAUGCAUGCCAUAAUAUUUUAGAAUUUUAUAUUUAUUAAAAUUUAUUUCACCCUAAGAAAGGAAGACAGAUUCAUAAAAUUGAAAAUAGACAUAUUGAGUAGUAUAACAUCACCAAUAUAUUGUCCAUGAUAUCUUAUAAUAGACGUAGAAUAGAAAACAACAUAUAUACCAGUUACAUCCCAAUUUAAUUCUUAAUGGUGUUAAUAUUGAACAUAUGCCUCACAACUAACAUAUAUUUCAGUGACAUACAAUGAGAGAAAAUUGGGCUCAUAAUUUAUUGAUUUGAGCAAGUAAUUUGGUAAAUGUUAUAUUUUGGGUUGUAAGUAAACAUACAUGGGGACCACCUGAAUGAGGCGUCAAUUAACACCAUAAAAAUACCUAAAUGGGCCGAAGAUAGGUUGAUUGGACCAUAAAUGUCACUUUGAAUUCUUUCUAAGAAAUUUAGAGACUCGAUUUAAUGUUUGACUGAGAAUGGUCGGGCAAUCGAUUUUUUCAAAAAAAUUGCGAACAAUAAAGUUCAACUCUGGGUAUUAAUCUUAUAUUUUUAAGAGGAUAACUCAAUUCAAUUUUAUGUAAUAUGAUGCAUCACAUGUGCUCAUAUAUAUAUGAUCGAGUCUUUUGAAACCAAUUUUAAAGUAUAAACUAGAAAGUAGAAUAAAAAAUUAAAAUAAGUAGACGCCAAAAAACAUCUUUUCAUUUUACAAUUCAAUGUCCAUCCCCUCUAUCAUUUGCAUAAAAUUUCGGUGAUUCUGAUCACAGUUUAGAGAAUUUAGUGUUAUUGAUGAUGUAAUAGUUAUAUAUGAUGCGCUGGCGGUGGUAUAGUAGUGACCGUGAAGUGGUAAUUGAUGUUGGUCGUUAUGAUAUUGAAUUUAGUGAUAUUAGUGUCGUGGUUAUGAUAUUUAAAUUUUAGUGAAUGACAAUGAUGAUAUAUUGGUGUUGUUAUAUAUAAAUACAAAAUAAUGAUUCUUGUAAUAAAUUUUAGGGAUUAUUGUAAUAUUAUUUAGAUAUUAGAGUUUAAAUAUGGUAACUCAUGUUCAUGUGUCAUGAUUAAAUUUCAGAUUUUAUAAUUUUUGUUGGAAGUAAUUUAUGUUGUAGAUGGUGGUUAGUGGAUAGAAAUGACGAUAACAAUAACGGAGUCAAGACGAGUUAAUUAUUCUGAUAAUUAUGGUGGAUGGAGGUCAGAUUGGAGAUGGUGACUAUAAUCGAGCUAAUUAUUGAUAUCAAUGAUAGAGAAAGAGGAUGAAGACUUUGAAAUAGUGGGAUAUAGAUACAAAUAUUUUUUUUAAUGAUAGUGAUUAUUUUCUAAUUUUUAUCUUUACAGGGUUUGUAGUGUAGUAAGACUCCAUAUUUGUAUAUUUAUAUAUAAAGAGGCAAGUGCUUAAAUGAGAACAAUGCUUAUGUGAAAUAGGGAUCUAAUCUCAACCACACAAAUUUGAAGCUGCUUUUAAUCUUAUCCAAUUAUUUAAAUCUUAUCAUCUCCAUCUCUAACAAUCACCAUCUUCUUACCCCUUACCAUUUCCACCAUAACUUUCGGCCACACCCACGGCCCACUUUCGCCUCGCUAGCAACCUCUCACCAUAUAAUCAUUAAUGUUGGCUAUUCUUCCCUCACCAUCCUCUUUAUAUCCCCUUCAUUUUAUCUCACCGGCAAGUCAUUGUCCUUGACCAUCAUUGAAGUUUGGCAUCCGCUUCAAUCUACCUCUCCUCUCCGCCAACCACAUCUCCGUUGUGGUGACCAUACUGAUGAAAAACUGCUGCUCAGCUCUAGGAAAUUUAGUACAUCCAGAUCUACACUAUUAUUAUUACGCGCUUAUAUUUGGAGAAAAUCUGUUGUGGUUAAGUAUUAUUUUGUGGUAAUUUAUGUUAGUUUUUCAUUUUUUAUUACUCUCAUCUAGUGACUAUACAAAUAUAUGGUUUGGUUGUUUUAGAUGGUGGUGGUUUCCGGUAUGAUGAUGAUUGAUGGGUGAUGGUGGAUUUUGUGUGCAUAUGGUGAUUUUAGGUCAGAUCUUGUAAUUUUGCACUAUCGUGAUGAUACGGAGGGGUGGGUGGUGGUGGUGGACGAUGUACUUGGGAGGAAGUGGCUAUAUGAUAGUAGGAAUUGUGUUGAUUCUAUUGAAAUCGAGUGAUUUUCUUAUGAAGAUAAUGGUGAUUUUUUGUUGCCAAUUAUCGAAUGUUGUGGUUAGAUCUCAUAUAUCAAAAUAGAGCCAACGUGUUUCAAAACUCAUCCUUACACGCUUGCACCCUCUUAUGUAUUUGUUCACAUUUUAUUCUAAAUUAAAAAAUAGUCAACUAGAUACUAUUUUAAAAUCUAAAUACUUUUUUCCUGUUUCAAGUUAAAAAAUCGUCAAACAAGUAUUAUUUUGAAAUCUAAAUACUUUUUCUUAAGACAAACCUUGUGUGACAACUGAUAUAGUAAAUAGUAAUAUAUCAAUACAUAUAAAUAUAAAUUUAUGUAAUAACGACUCAUAGAUUAUAUUAAAAUAAUUGGAUAAAACUCAACUCUGUAAACUGCAAUUUUGACUCCCAAGUGGUUCGCAUGUAUAUAUAUACACACACAUGAGAGUACACAGCAAGGAUUAUUACUUGUACGCCAGAAAAAAAUAAAUUUUCCUCUAUAUUCCAAAAUUUAGAAGCUUUUCCUUAAGUUUCAGGAGUCAUGCCUUCACCACCUCACCACAACCAUCCCCAAUCCCACCCAAAUCCCGCACCACCGGUGGCUGUUGUCGCUCCUCACUCAGGACCCAACCACCAGGCUCCUGCGCCACCGAAAGUCGUGGUUGUGAAUCCUCCUACUCACCAUGACAACCACAAACAUUAAACUUGGCGGAUGAUGAUGUUAUAUAUAAUGCGGUGCUACUUGUUGCAGCUGCUUAUAAUCACUUUGCUCUAAUAAAUUUUGUUGAAAUACUCUACGUGAUUUAUGUUUUUCUAUAUGUAUUCUGGUCCAAGUCGACGAUCUUGUAAGGUAAACCUAUGUGUUAUAAAUAAACUCCUUGACGAGUAAUUUAUUGUAUUGUUCGUGCGGUUCUUGGAUCAAGUAUAUUGUCUUUCUUGCAUCAAACAACUACUGUAUUUAUAUAUAGUACUGUUCUAUGAAAGUGGGGUUUAAAUUUCUAUUUAUAUAUUGUUUUAUUUUUUUUAUGGGAACGAUUAGAGAUCUUUAAUCCCGUCUAUUUGUAAAAACUAUCUGCGGAGCACAGGAAAACUGACAAAAGAUGAGUGGCAUAUAUAUGGUUAAUAACUCAUAUAUUUGUAGCAGGUCGAUUUUACAUGUUCUGAAAGGUUAUAAAUCGUUAAUAUUUUGUUGUUUUCAUUGAUUUAUCUGACCAUCUGAGGGUUUUUGCUAUAAAAAAUUCUGAUUUCAACUUUGUUAAACUGUAUUUCAGAUCCUAAGAAAACCAAACUAACCAAUGCUGCGAAACCAUGCACAGCUAUCCAAUGAUAUUCACGCACAUGACACAGUUCACUUAAGAUUAUUGACAGAAAACUUUAGGCGCUCUUUUGCAAUAUUUUCUAGUUUGUUAAAUUUUCCCCAAAACUAUUUGAGAAGUUUAAAUAAAAAUGAUUUUUAAAAAUGUUAGAGGAUCAUAUGAUAUGCUCUUAUUCGAUCGAUUAUAAACUAUCCCAUUAAGAAAUAUCUAAUACGUUACUAGCUCAAAUUCGGUUUGAAUCCUGGUCUCAAAUAUUCGGGAUCAAUUUAUAUCCUGAUAAAAUCAUCUCGGAUCCAAAUCUGAA
rnacentral:lncRNA from 1 species